rnacentral:rRNA from 1 species
UACGUAGGGGGCAAGCGUUGUCCGGAUUUAUUGGGCGUAAAGAGCGUGUAGGCGGCCAAGCAGGUCCGCUGUGAAAACUCGAGGCUCAACCUCGAGACGUCGGUGGAAACCGUUUGGCUAGAGUCCGGAAGAGGAGAGUGGAAUUCCUGGUGUAGCGGUGAAAUGCGCAGAUAUCAGGAAGAACACCCGUGGCGAAGGCGGCCUUCUGGACAGUGACUGACGCUGAGACGCGAAAGCGUGGGGAGCAAACAGG